GGAACAGUGAGACUGACUCCCCUGGUUGCAGCUGCAAGUGCAGUAAGCAAUGUACAGGCUUUAAGGAAGUCACGUGAUGAUACACAUUGGGCCGAGUCGGGUGACGUAGCACAGCAGAGUAUGAGCGAAACGGGAGCCGCAGCCCCAUCGGAUACCUAUAUGGAAGUGCUUUAUUGCCUUCAAAUGUAAGUGUUUACCGUUACUUAAUAAAACCGUUUUAAUACUA